GACGAACGCUGGCGGCGUGCUUAACACAUGCAAGUCGAGCGAUGAAGUUUCUUCGGAAAUGGAUUAGCGGCGAACGGGUGAGGAACACGUGAAGAAUCUGCCCUCCACUUUGGGAUAACACCGGGAAACCGGUGCUAAUACCGAAUAUUGAAACAUAAGUGGCAUCACUGAGUUUUGAAAGAAUUUCGGUGGAGGAUGACUUCGCGGCCUAUCAGCUAGUUGGUGAGGUAAUGGCUCACCAAGGCAACGACGGGUAGCCGGCCUGAGAGGGCGACCGGCCACACUGGGACUGAGACACGGCCCAGACUCCUACGGGAGGCAGCAGUGGGGAAUAUUGGGCAAUGGAGGAAACUCUGACCCAGCGACGCCGCGUGCGGGAUGAAGGCCUCGGUGU
rnacentral:rRNA from 1 species